UUGGUGUGAAUUGCAGAAUCCCGUGAACCAUCGAGUUUUUGAACGCAAGUUGCGCCCGAAGCCUUCUGGCCAGGGCACGUCUGCCUGGGCGUCACGC
rnacentral:rRNA from 1 species